GACGUAGGGGACGAGCGUUGUCCGGAUUUAUUGGGCGUAAAGAGCGCGUAGGCGGUUUGGUAAGUCGGACGUGAAAAUCCGGGGCUCAACCCCGGACGUGCAUCCGAAACUGCCCGACUAGAGGUAGGUAGGGGAGAUCGGAAUUCCUGGUGUAGCGGUGAAAUGCGCAGAUAUCAGGAGGAACACCGGUGGCGAAGGCGGAUCUCUGGGCCUUACCUGACGCUGAGGCGCGAAAGCUAGGGGAGCAAACAGGAUUAGAUACCCUGGUAGUCCUAGCCGUAAACGUUGGGUGCUAGGUGUGGGCGGAAAUCGACCCCGUCCGUGCCGGAGCUAACGCAUUAAGCACCCCGCCUGGGGAGUACGGCCGCAAGGCUAAA
rnacentral:rRNA from 1 species